rnacentral:rRNA from 1 species
CUGGUUGAUCCUGCCAGUAGUCAUAUGCUUGUCUCGAAGAUUAAGCCAUGCACGUCCAAGUUCAACGAACGGGCCGGGGUGCACGUGCCGGCGGGCAACCGCCGCGUGCGUUCGGCUCUGGCCCUCCCAAUGCGAAACUGCGGAUGGCUCAGUAAAACAGUGUGAAUCCCCAGGGCGGUUUCCGCGGUGGUCCGUUUGUGUUGUUUGGACGGGCGACCGUUCCCAAAAGGAUAACUGUGGAAACUCCAGAGCUAAUACUUGAAUCGUCCGCGGACGGGGCAACCCGUCCGCGGGGGGUUUAUCAGUAGCGGCCGGCGGGGCCUAGCCCCGUCGGCUCUGGUGAAUCAUGGUAAAUCCAGAUCGAAGAGCCUGAGAUACGGCGUCGACUCGCCCCUCGAGUCUCUGACCUAUCAGCUUUCGACGCUACUGUAAGGUACUAGCAGGGCGAUUACGGGUGACGGGGAAUUAGUGUUCGAUUCCGGAGAGGGAGCCUGAGAGAUGGCUACCACGUCCAUGGACGGCAGCAGGCGCGCAAAUUACCCAAUCCUAACGCAAGGGAGGUAGUGAAGAGACAUACCGACCCGGCGCCACGUGCGUCGGGAUUCGGAAUGGUGACAAUUUAAAUCGCUUACAGAGUAUCGAUUGGAGGGCAAGUCUGGUGCCAGCAGCCGCGGUAAUUCCAGCUCCAAUAGCAUAUAUUAAAGUUGUUGCAGUUAAAAAGCUCGUAGUUGGCUCUCGAGGCGGCUCGGUGGUCACGUCUCCGGAACCGUUCGGAGGCGGCGGCGGCGGCGGCGGCGGCAACGCUGCUAUGCUGCCCCGCGGAUGGCGGUGAGGGGGGCCUCGGCGCGGCCCGCUCGGCUUCGGCCGGGCGGUGCUGCGUGUGGCUGCUCAAGGGGUCCCGCGGCGCGGCUCUCACCUAGAGCCGGGCUGCGGGUAACCCCGGGGCCGCUUCGCUCGUGGGUCGUCGGUCGCGGCCGAAACCGGGCCGCGGCGGCGGGGCAACCCGCCGUCGCGCGCAACGGGCGGCCGCACCAAGGCUGGCGGCCCGAUGGAACCGUGAGUAAAUCACAGUGUCCAAAGCAGGCGUCUCGCCCCGUGUGUGAUCUAGCAUGGUACUCCAGCGUUAGUUUUCCGCCGGCCGUGCCCGCGCGCUCCUAAGGGGCUCGCGUGCCUGCGGUACCGGCGCGGAAACGUGGUUAAUGGGGGUCUGAUCGAGGGCGUAAGUAUUGUGCCGGGAGAGGUGAAAUUCAUAGAUCGGCGCAGGACUAACAGCAGCGAAAGCGCACGCCCAGCGCGCCUCCAUCAAUCAGGAACGAAAGUUUGGGGAUCGAAGACGAUCAGAUACCGUCGUAGUCCAAACCGUAAACGAUACCGACCCGGGAUUGGGACGCGAACCAUAACCAAGACCCUCUCAGAACCGUCAAGGGAAACCACAAGUCUCUGGGUUCUGGGGGGAGUAUGGUCGCAAGGCUGAAACUUAAAGGAAUUGACGGAAGGGCACACCAGGAGUGGAACCUGCGGCUUAAUUUGACUCAACACGGGAAAACUCACCAGGUCCGGACAUAUUGAGGAUUGACAGGUUGAUAGCCCUUUCUUGAUUGUAUGAGUGGUGGUGCAUGGCCGUUCUUAGUUGGUGGAGUGAUUUGUCUGGUUAAUUCCGUUAACGAACGAGACCUUUACCUGCUAAAUAGCCCUGCGUCCUUGGCACGGGGCUCCGCCGUCGGCGCGGCAGGUCCGCACCGCGGGCGCGCGCGGGGGCAACCCCAACCGCGCCCGCGGGGCGGCCGCGCGCGGACGGUCCCUGCCAAACACAGGACGCAUGGACCGAAGGAUUCCUGGCCCGCCGGCCCGCCCCCCUCCGGGGGGGCGGGCGGGCGGACCGUGGGCCGGCGGUAUCGCUUCUUAGAGGGACAUUGUAGCGUUCUUUUGUAACAUAGCGCACGGAAGUUAAAGGCAAUAACAGGUCUGUGAUGCCCUUAGAUGUUCUGGGCCGCACGCGCGUUACAAUGCAGAGAGCAGCGAGCGUACAGGGGCGCCCGGCAAUGCGGGCGCGCCGCGGGGUGCUCACCGCACACCGCGGCGCGCUUCCAGCCGGCGCCCAGUGCCUUCGCGGAUGCGUGUGGGGAGUCUUUUUAAACCUCUGCGUGACGGGGACAGUUGAUUGCAAUUAUUCAUCUCGAACGAGGAAUUCCUAGUAAGUAUGAGUCAUUAACUCGUGCUGAUUACGUCCCUGCCCUUUGUACACACCGCCCGUCGCUCCUACCGAUGGGACGAAUGGAUGAGUCAGCCGGAGCCGUGGCGUUCCUCCGUGUUCGCCGUGGCGAAGGUCGACAAAUCCUUUCGUUUGUAGGAAGGAGAAGUCGUAACAAGGUAACCGUAGGUGAACCUGCAG